rnacentral:rRNA from 1 species
AACGCUAGCGGCAAGCUUAACACAUGCAAGUCGAACGGUAACUCUUAGUGCUUGCACUAAAAGACGAGUGGCGGACGGGUGCGUAACGCGUAUGCAAUCUACCUUUUACUAGGGAAUAGCCCAGAGAAAUUUGGAUUAAUCCCCUAUAAUAUCAAAAAUUCGCAUGAUUUUUUGAUUAAAGUUUCGACGGUAAAAGAUGAGCAUGCGUCCUAUUAGUUUGUAGGUGAGGUAAUGGCUCACCUAGACUACGAUAGGUAGGGGCCCUGAGAGGGGGAUCCCCCACACUGGUACUGAGACACGGACCAGACUCCUACGGGAGGCAGCAGUGAGGAAUAUUGGACAAUGGACGAAAGUCUGAUCCAGCUAUGCCGCGUGCAGGAUGACAGCCCUACGGGUUGUAAACUGCUUUUAUACAGGAAGAAAAACUCCGACGUGUCGGGGCUUGACGGUACUGUAAGAAUAAGGAUCGGCUAACUCCGUGCC